AAAUAAAACAAUUAAAGAAGGGUCUGCAUAAGUAAGUGUCAUUAACUAAAAAUACUGCUGCAAUAUCUUGUUAAUUCUUAAAUAGAUCUCCUCGGGCGGGGCGUAUGUUCUCCGUGACUAUUUGAUAAACGACAUUGUGUCUGAAAUCAUUAGUCCUCCACCUCUGAUUCAUGUGGGGAAGUUGGCAGUUACUUGCUGAGAACAGGUUUGUACUGGUACAGAAUCUAGGAACACUGUUAGGUUAACUGCCCGCCGUUACAUGACUGAAAUACUGUAAACCCAAAACAAACAAACUAUUUAUUUACCCGCAAUAUUAUUUUCAGUUAUGUUUGGAGGUAAGCAUUAUAUAUACCAUAUGCGAACAGAUGUAGAUCAGAUGUUGUUAUUGAAACGCGGCUUUUGGUUGGUUGAAAAAAAGUGUAGAGAAAACCAUAAGAAUCAAUUAGACGAAAACUGGUUGGGUAAAAAGGUUAUGUUUACAAUCUUAAAAUGUGUGUCAAAAUCAAGCAAUACAGUGUUUUCUGUAAAAUUUGGAAUAUUUUACGAGUGUCUAGCUGAAUGCUUGACUUUUUAAUACUCUCUUAAGAAAAGUAGGUGUCAGUGAGAAUUUUGCCUCUAGAUGCCAUUCAGCUAAGGGGGUAGAUUUGUCAGAAGAAAAAUUGUAAGAAAAUGGAUAAGAUAAGCCUAUAUAAAUUGCUAUUUUUAUAUGACUGAAGUGCUGUCUUACUGGAAGAAUCACCUUUUAAUGGUCAUUUCUCAAUUUUGGAGUAUUUUACAGGGUCAUUUCCUUAAAUGGAAGUCUAUGGAAGAAACAAUAGCAGUGCCUGACCUUCUUAUGCGGUGAAUUGUACGGUACAGGUACGGUACGGGAUUAAGAACAACGAGUAACCUCCCUUAGUAUUAAAUACGCCUUUUGUAAGAAAAAAAAGUGAGUUACUAGAUCUACAAGAUUUAGCUUACCAAAAGGAAUUUAACAAGAUUGCAGAAGAAAUGGGAGAAAAUACUGUUAAGGAGUUCAUUUUCAAGUGUGGUAUAUGCCAGCAAGGUUAUGGAGAUAUUUUCUUGUAUUUUAAACACUUUUCAGAACAUAAACAAGUGACAUUUCAAGAGUGUUUCCAUCUCUGUGAGACCAGUAAUAAAUGGAAACACAGUCUGGAUUAUUGUAUGCACUGUCUGGAGUUGACUGAUACAGAGUCGUUCACAUGCCAGGUGUGUUUGAAAUCAUUCAAGACAAUGUGUAUGUUGCAUAGACAUAUUGUGGAUAACCAUUCAAAAGUCAUCUCUUAUGAUAUUGAUAUAGUGGCAAGAAGAGUCAGGGCAGAUUCGGAAGAUGGGUCUGGAGAUUUAGCAGAAGAGAUAUCUGAAACAGCGACAGAUGAAGUUAAACAAGAGAUAGGUGUUGUUCCAUUUGUAUGCUAUUUUUGCAACAGUGGCCAUACAAGGGUUGUUGAUCUUUUAAAACAUUUACAAACUCAUGGUAGAUUUAAGUUCAACAAAUGUUUCCAUCUAUGUGACAUUGAGGAAUUAGAUGAGCAAAUUAAAGAAACAAACAAAAUAGACAAGUUUUUAUGCCAUACAUGUGGUACAUUUUUUCAGAGUAUGUGCCUUGUUUUCAAACACUUGUCUUGUAAAAAGUUGUGUAAGUCAUAUACAGUUUCACUUCGUGAUAAAACUAUCUAUGUAGGUUCUCAACAGUGUUUGGAUGUAAAAAGUAAAGUCGUGGAAAACAAAUUACCGCCCGAAGAAAGGCUGAAGGAAACUAGAAAAGAGUUUCAAGAGAAAAGAACGUGUUUUGUUCUAUUAGAAGACUGUGCAGGUUUAAUCACAAAGUCUGGCAUAGAAAAAGUUCCUUCAACUUCUCCGAUACCAUUAAGUGAACAAGAAGCUCGGGAGCAUUCAUCACAUGAUAGACUGUCUUCGGUAUUAGAAGAUGGAUUCUCCAAAAGCGUUACCGAUGAUAAAGGAUUUGAGGGUACGAAAGAGCAGUAUAAAUCUGAUUCUAAAAGACUCAUAGUGAACUUUAGUUCAGAAAUGAGCACUGAUGAUGGAAAUGAAGAAGGAUCAAAGAAUGGAAGUUCUGGCAAGGGAGAACAAAUAGAAUCUGAGUGUCAUGAAAAUACAAGUAAAUUACAAAGACAAGCUACACUUGGAAGGCCACGAAAAAACUUUUUCAAAUCAUCAUUUGUACGGAAAAUGCAGUACUAUGAACGGAAAAAGAAGCUUCUGAGUCAGCCGACUAUAUGUCAGCUUUGUGGUAUAAAAUUAAAAAAGAUGUGUAUUAAGAGACACAUGAAACUUGUGCAUUCUGACACUGGGCCUGCAACAUGUGAAAAAUGUGGAAAAGUAUUUUCCUGUAAAUGUGAAGGUUUAUUUAAAGAAUCAUAAGGAAUCCCAUAACAAGGAGAGAAUAUACAAGUGUGAAGAAUGUGAAAAGACGUUUUAUACAAAGGCAUCUCUACGUGCACACUGGCUGAGAAAAAAAAAGGUACGAGACCAUCAGUGCCCUCAUUGUGAAAAAAUGUUUGAUAAACGAGGACUUAGGAAUCACAUACGUGAUGUACAUGCAGAUUCAAGCAAAUGGAUUUGUACAUUUUCUGGAUGUGAAAAGAGGUUCAAAUCUAGACGUUUCUUGCGGAGACAUAUCGUACGUCAUCAAGAGGUUAAACCAGAAGUUUGUGACUUUUGUGGAGUGUCCUUUGCCCAGAGAGGUGAGCUUAAAUCACAUUUCAGGAGGAUACAUGGCAUACAGGAGUUAACAAAAAAGAAAAUUGAAGAUACUGAUCGUGAUGAACGUCAAAAACGUUUUGUGUCCAUCGACGUGGAUCCAGAGAUGUUUGGUGAGGAAGGAUUGAAAACUAUCAGGAUGUAAAGUGUUUAAGGAUUGUUCUAUUGGGAAAAGCAAGUGUGUUUGGUUAACUACACUAUCAUUAAAAAGGAUGAAAUGACAACAAAGUAUUUUACAGACAAAAAUGGAAUAUACUGCAAAAAAACUGUAAUUGAUUAAACGCAGUUUAAAUAGUACAGAUGUACCAUUAACAAGAAAAAAGCCCAAAGAUUUAUUUCAAUUGUUAUAUGCCCCCUAACAUGCCCUUCUGUGGGGAAGUAAUUGUAAAUAACAAUUAUAAAUAAGAAAGUGAUUUAGUGCGUUCCGAGAAUAUUUAUUAGAUCCAUAAAAACUCUUGCAUUGUGAGUUAAAUCAUUAGAAAUAGGCAGAAAGGGCAGUUUCCAAGAAUGUAGUCCCCGCAAAUCAAAACAUAGUUUAUUAUAGAUAUGUGCUUGGAAGACAUGCUCCCAAAACAUAGCUAAGAACAAAGAUUUGUAGGAACACAUUGUGAUACAGCCUGGGAAAGGUCGGUGGCAAAGAACCCAAUGAAUGGUAUUCUCAUUUGGAAGACUAGUGUUUUAGCUAUCGGGUCGGAUUGUUUACUUGAAUAUAAGUGAGAAAUGCUGUUGAAAAACGGCGUUAAACCCAAAACAAACGAACAAACAAAACUAGUAAGGUUAACUACCCGUCGUUAUAUGACCGAAAUACUGUUGAAAACGGGCGUUAAACCCAAAACAUAAACAUUUUUGUAAGGCUUAAUGGUUAACCACAUCAGCAGCAAACUUUGCAUAUUUUUCGUCUAAACAUACUUAUGGUAGAUCUCCAUAAAAGCAUGCUGAAAGAUAUGCACUAAUGUACGCAUAAUGUCAGAAUGUUUGAACAUUCUAGUCUAGAUUACUGCCUAGCAGGUAGUGCAAAAGAGACUGACUGUUUUGAAUAUCUAAACCCCGUUCUUUUAAGAAUCUCUGAUGAAUUUAGUAAAGUUCUGUUUUAAUUUGGCGUUCAGUUUCUACGAUGGUUCGGAUGUCUUUGCAUUAGGGUUGCAGGUUUUCAGAGUAUUAUACGUAUAUAGAUGUGUAUAAUGAAAUACAACAUAAGGUUAUUCCUACUCCGCGGAAAGCCAGUUUAGUACAUGUACCAGUUUACAAGACUUGCCAAUUGAUCAGCUGAAUAGCGAACAGUGCAGACCAUGAUCAGACUGCACGGAUGUGCAGGCUAAUCUUGGUCUGCAGUGGUCGCAAAGGCAGAACCAAUUGAGCCCAGCAUGGUAAGGGUUAAAAGUUAUUACAUCAACGGUAUUUCAGUAAUACAUUGAUUGUUCUACACCAUUUAUUAUAAACAAAAAUGUUAUGUCCUCAUAAACAUCAUGCAGGGACCUAAUUAUACAGUGCUUUAUAUAGGUAAAUUGUUAAAAUUUGAACAAGUUUCAAAUUCGUUUUCAUUGAUAUCUGUAAUCCCAGUACAAACCCUAUAUUUUGACUGUUUUGGCAAGUACUGUGAUUUAAUGCUUUGUAUCUAUCUAUCUUACUUAUAAAAUCCGCCAUCACCUGUUUUUUUUAUCUUAAACAAUACCAAAAAGCGUUACGUUUCUUUUUUAUUCGUGAGAAACCUUUCAUGAAAAAAUAUUUCAGCACAUAAAGGCCCAAAAAAUGCGCCAAGAUGUUUUCAGAUGAAAACUAUUAUUCUAAAACUAUUUUUGUUGCGCCUUAGUUGGCAUGUAUAUUAUUCUGCUUCCUUGCCAAUAAAACAGUUUGCAAAGUUUCUUUAUUCUCGAAAUGAUUGCCAUC